UAUGCUAGCAAGGUUCCUUGAACUCAAUUGGGUUUCUCUAAACUCAAUUAAUACUUCAUAAGUUUUAUUAUUAAUUUUAGAUCUAAUCCCUUUAUUGUGGGAUCCCAUAGAUUCAACUCUAUCUUGUAGUGAGAUAUACAAUGAUCUCUAUCAAAGUAUCAUUGAAACUCUUUUCAAUGAGUCGGAAUAAUUUCACUUUAACUCAUCAAAGAUUGUUGAUCCAGAAUAACCCC
rnacentral:lncRNA from 1 species